rnacentral:rRNA from 1 species
GAGCGCCCCGCAAGGGGAGCGGCAGACGGGUGAGUAACGCGUGGGAACGUACCCUUUACUACGGAAUAACGCAGGGAAACUUGUGCUAAUACCGUAUGUGCCCUUCGGGGGAAAGAUUUAUCGGUAAGGGAUCGGCCCGCGUUGGAUUAGCUAGUUGGUGGGGUAAAGGCCUACCAAGGCGACGAUCCAUAGCUGGUCUGAGAGGAUGAUCAGCCACAUUGGGACUGAGACACGGCCCAAACUCCUACGGGAGGCAGCAGUGGGGAAUAUUGGACAAUGGGCGCAAGCCUGAUCCAGCCAUGCCGCGUGAGUGAUGAAGGCCCUAGGGUUGUAAAGCUCUUUCACCGGAGAAGAUAAUGACGGUAUCCGGAGAAGAAGCCCCGGCUAACUUCGUGCCAGC